rfam:Salmo salar isolate Sally breed double haploid chromosome ssa09, whole genome shotgun sequence.
UGGCUCAGUUGGUAGAGCAUGUUGUUAGCAAUGCCAGGGUUGUGGGUUCGAUUCCCAC